GAAAGGGGGCAGAAGUUUGAGUUAAUAACUAAUAGCUAAAGAUGUAAACAAUAAGCCUCCAUAAAACCCCAAAAGGACUGGACUGGGUUCUGAGAGCUUCCAGGUUGUUGAGCAGGUGGAGGUUCUGGGAGGGUCCACACCCAGAGAAGGCAUGGAAGCUGACCCCUUCCCCAUACCUUGCUCUUUGCAUCUCUUCCGUUUGGCUGUUCCCGAGUUGUAUACUUUGUAAUAAGUGGGAUUUCCACUCAACAACAAUUCAGCCACACUGCUUCACACAUCUAGAAUCCAUCCAAAAUUGUAAAGGCUUUGUGGCACUACAGUGAAAGAGGCAAGAACAUCUUCCAAACACCAGCACAAGGGCACACAGGAGGCCGGCAUAAUCACGAAUUGCAGCUGUCUGAAGGGCAGUCACAUAAAAGAGGGGAAGCUUCACCUUUGCUUCACAAGGCACAUCUUGAACCAGGGAUGGAAAUUACAGAGAGGCCAAAACCAGCUCGGUGUGAGCAGGACUGGUAACAGACUGGCCAAGCAACAGAAGGGGCUGCCCUGUGAAGAAGCAAGCCCUCUGUCAAUGGGAGGUGCAAGCUGAGCCUGCACUACCUUUUGUCACGGUUGCUAUGGAAAAGAUUAAGAGCCCGUGAGGCUCCAGUCUAGAUGUUGGCUGGGGAUGCAGUCGUCUGUCAGCUUGGCGAGGGCUGGAUGAUCCGCUUCCGGAAUGGCCCACUCACAUGGCUGUGGGAAACAGGCCGCAGCCCCUCACCAUGUGGCUUCUCCAUAGGGCUGCUUGAGUGUCUGCAUGACAUGGCAGCUGGCUCCCUGAAGAGCGCGUGAUCCGAAAGAGAGAGCAAGACAGAAGCGCAGUGUCUUCAACAGCAUAUCUUUGAAAGUCAUAUUCCACCGUUUUCACUACAUUCUAUUGAUAGGCCUGGCUGUUCCCACCUCAAACCACUUCUUAGCUUCAUUUGUUCUCAUAACAAAAGGAUAGCCCUUCCUCCUCUGGAGGCCUGGGCAUCAGCAAGUCGGAUGGCAGUGGAAGGUGGAGAAAUGGAAUCCUGCUGGGGGCUCAGGAGGCCUGCCCCCUGAUGCUGCCGUGCACUGCAGAUGUCCUUGAUGAAGAGAAUGAAUGGAACUGUCUUUCUCAAUGGCAAAAGGGCAUACUGCUGUUAUUGUCAGUGAGGGGUCAGUAUUUAAAUGAUGAAACUCUGGGGAUCAGCGUAAAGUAAACCAACAUACUGCAGUAAAUUCCUCAUUCUUACUGCUGUGAGAACAAUUGUUAGGAGCCAAAAACUUCAGAGCUUUCAAAGAACUGUAAUGAGAUAGCACAAUGCAGGCAAAAAGCCAGUGUUAACGGAGCAAGAAACUUCCCAGUUCUGACAUUCACAGCAUGACCUAGAGCAUGCGGAUUCCCCUCUCUGAGUCACUGGUUUCUCACCUGCAAAAGAAAGCUGGACAGGGAAGGAGGAAGAAGCUUCGAGAGGCUGGAACAGUUGAGGGAGCGCUGACACGGUAAAGGCCACUUUGCUCAUCAUCAUCGGGAGCGCUGCCGAAAAUUUCCACUCUGUUUACUCCCAAGACCUUACUCCUACUAUGUGGAGACAUAUUUGAAUAAAAAAUUGGCCUCUUUUCAAAGUCAAAAUUCUGAGCCAGCUUGAAGGGAUUGUUUUUGGUCAAA
rnacentral:lncRNA from 1 species